AGUCACUGACAUUAGAUACCCGGUAGUCCAGGGUGUAAACGCUGCCGACUUGGUGUUGGAGGCCCUUCGGGGGCAUUCAGUGCCGGAGAGAAGUUGUUAAGUCGGCCACUUGGGGAGUACGUCCGCAAGGAUGAAACUUAAAAGAAUUGGCGGGGGGAGCACCGCAACGGGAGGAGCGUGCGGUUUAAUUGGAUUCAACACCGGAAAACUCACCAAGGGCGACUGUUACAUGAAAGCCAGGCUAAUGACCUUGCUUGAUUUUCAG
rnacentral:rRNA from 1 species